rnacentral:rRNA from 1 species
CACGUAGGCGGGUUGUUAAGUCAGGGGUGAAAUCCCGGAGCUCAACUCCGGAACUGCCUUUGAUACUGGCAAUCUAGAGACUGGAAGAGGUUAGUGGAAUUCCCAGUGUAGAGGUGAAAUUCGUAGAUAUUGGGAAGAACACCAGUGGCGAAGGCGGCUAACUGGUCCAGUACUGACGCUGAGGUGCGAAAGCGUGGGGAGCAAACAG